AUGAACGCUAGCUACAGGCUUAACACAUGCAAGUCGAGGGGCAGCAUGAACUUAGCUUGCUAAGUUUGAUGGCGACCGGCGCACGGGUGAGUAACACGUAUCCAACCUGCCGAUGACUCGGGGAUAGCCUUUCGAAAGAAAGAUUAAUACCCGAUGGCAUAAUUCUUCCGCAUGGUAGAACUAUUAAAGAAUUUCGGUCAUCGAUGGGGAUGCGUUCCAUUAGGUUGUUGGCGGGGUAACGGCCCACCAAGCCUUCGAUGGAUAGGGGUUCUGAGAGGAAGGUCCCCCACAUUGGAACUGAGACACGGUCCAAACUCCUACGGGAGGCAGCAGUGAGGAAUAUUGGUCAAUGGACGAGAGUCUGAACCAGCCAAGUAGCGUGAAGGAUGACUGCCCUAUGGGUUGUAAACUUCUUUUAUACGGGAAUAAAGUGAGGCACGUGUGCCUUUUUGUAUGUACCGUAUGAAUAAGGAUCGGCUAACUCCGUGCCAGCAGCCGCGGUAAUACGGAGGAUCCGAGCGUUAUCCGGAUUUAUUGGGUUUAAAGGGAGCGUAGGCGGACGCUUAAGUCAGUUGUGAAAGUUUGCGGCUCAACCGUAAAAUUGCAGUUGAUACUGGGUGUCUUGAGUACAGUAGAGGCAGGCGGAAUUCGUGGUGUAGCGGUGAAAUGCUUAGAUAUCACGAAGAACUCCGAUUGCGAAGGCAGCUUGCUGGACUGUAACUGACGCUGAUGCUCGAAAGUGUGGGUAUCAAACAGGAUUAGAUACCCUGGUAGUCCACGCCGUAAACGAUGAGUGCUAGGUGUUAGGCCCUUUCCGGGGCUUAGUGCCGCAGCUAACGCAUUAAGCACUCCGCCUGGGGAGUACGACCGCAAGGUUGAAACUCAAAGGAAUUGACGGGGGCCCGCACAAGCGGUGGAGCAUGUGGUUUAAUUCGAAGCAACGCGAAGAACCUUACCAGGUCUUGACAUCCACGGAAGUUUUCAGAGAUGAGAAUGUGCCUUCGGGAACCGUGAGACAGGUGCUGCAUGGCUGUCGUCAGCUCGUGUUGUGAAAUGUUGGGUUAAGUCCCGCAACGAGCGCAACCCCUGUCGCCAGUUACCAUCAUUAAGUUGGGGACUCUGGCGAGACUGCCUCUGCAAGGAGGAGGAAGGCGGGGAUGACGUCAAAUCAUCAUGCCCCUUAUGACCUGGGCUACACACGUGCUACAAUGGCGUAAACAAAGGGAAGCGAGACCGUGAGGUGGAGCAAAUCCCAAAAAUAACGUCUCAGUUCGGAUUGUAGUCUGCAACUCGACUACAUGAAGCUGGAAUCGCUAGUAAUCGCGAAUCAGAAUGUCGCGGUGAAUACGUUCCCGGGCCUUGUACACACCGCCCGUCACACCAUGGGAGUUGGAAAUGCCCGAAGUCAGUGACCCAACCGUAAGGAGGGAGCAGCCGAAGGCAGGUUCAAUAACUGGGGUG
rnacentral:rRNA from 1 species